rnacentral:rRNA from 1 species
UACGUAGGGUGCGAGCGUUAAUCGGAAUUACUGGGCGUAAAGCGUGCGCAGGCGGUUUUGUAAGCCAGAUGUGAAAGCCCCCGGGCUUAACCUGGGAAUGGCAUUUGGGACUGCAAGGCUUGAGUGCGGCAGAGGAGACUGGAAUUCCUGGUGUAGCAGUGAAAUGCGUAGAUAUCAGGAGGAAUACCGAUGGCGAAGGCAGGUCUCUGGGCUGACACUGACGCUCAUGCACGAAAGCGUGGGGAGCAACAGG